rnacentral:rRNA from 1 species
UUUCCGGUUGAUCCCGCCGGACCUGACUGCUAUCGGAUUGAUACUAAGCCAUGCGAGUCUUUGUAGUAAUACAAGGCAGACGGCUCAGUAACACGUAGUCAACCUACCCUAUGGACAAGAAUAAUCUCGGGAAACUGGGCAUAAUUCUUGAUAGAUCAUAAUGCCUGGAAUGGUUUAUGGUUAAAAUGAUUCGUCGCCAUAGGAUGGGACUGCGGCCUAUCAGCUUGUUGGUGAGGUAAUGGCCCACCAAGGCGAUUACAGGUACGGGCUCUGAGAGGAGAAGCCCGGAGAUGGGUACUGAGACACGGACCCAGGCCCUAUGGGGCGCAGCAGGCGAGAAAACUUUGCAAUGUGCGAAAGCACGACAAGGUUAAUCCGAGUGAUUUCUGCUAAAGAAAUCUUUUGCCAGUCAUAAAACCACUGGUGAAUAAGGGGUGGGCAAGUUCUGGUGUCAGCCGCCGCGGUAAAACCAGCACCUCAAGUGGUCAGGAUGAUUAUUGGGCCUAAAGCAUCCGUAGCCGGCUUUGUAAGUUUUCGGUUAAAUCCAUGUGCUCAACGCAUGGGCUGCCGAAAAUACUGCAUGGCUAGGGAGUGGGAGAGGUAGACGGUACUCAGUAGGAAGGGGUAAAAUCCUUUGAUCUAUUGAUGACCACCUGUGGCGAAGGCGGUCUACCAGAACACGUUCGACAGUGAGGGAUGAAAGCUGGGGGAGCAAACCGGAUUAGAUACCCGGGUAGUCCCAGCUGUAAACGAUGCAGACUCGAUGAUGCAUUGGCAUAAUAGCCAGUGCAGUGUCGCAGGGAAGCCGUUAAGUCUGCCGCCUGGGAAGUACGUACGCAAGUAUGAAACUUAAAGGAAUUGGCGGGGGAGCACCACAAGGGGUGAAGCCUGCGGUUCAAUUGGAGUCAACGCCGGA